UGUGAAUUGCAGAAUUCAGUGAAUCAUCGAAUCUUUGAACGCACAUUGUCGCCUCUUGGUAUUCCGGGAGGCAUGCCUGUUCGAUCGUCAUUAAUAAAGCACUCAAGCUCUUUUGCAUGGUCAUGGCGGCAGAGAGCGGCAACGUUCUCCCCUCCAAAAUUCAAAGGCGGAUUGCNCCACGUGUCCUGGCGUAGUAAGUUUUAUCAUUUCGCUAGGUGAUGUCGUGUGGCCCUNAUCGCAAACCCCCCAUACCUUAACAUGCUGACCUCGGAUCAGGUAGGGAUACCCGCUGAACUUAAGCAUAUCAAUAAGCGGAGGAAG
rnacentral:rRNA from 1 species